rnacentral:rRNA from 1 species
GAUGAACGCUGGCGGCGUGCUUAACACAUGCGAGUCGAACGGAAAGGCCCAAGCUUGCUUGGGUACUCGAGUGGCGAACGGGUGAGUAACACGUGGGUGAUCUGCCCUGCACUUCGGGAUAAGCCUGGGAAACUGGGUCUAAUACUGGAUAGGACCACUUCUUGGAUGUUGUGGUGGAAAGUUUUUUCGGUGUGGGAUGAGCUCGCGGCCUAUCAGCUUGUUGGUGGGGUAAUGGUCUACCAAGGCGUCGACGGGUAGCCGGCCUGAGAGGGUGUACGGCCACAGUGGGACUGAGAUACGGCCCAGACUCCUACGGGAGGCAGCAGUGGGGAAUAUUGCACAAUGGGCGCAAGCCGGAUGCAGCGACGCCGCGUGGGGGAGGACGGCCUUCGGGUUGUAAACUCCGUUCGCUAGGGACGAAGCGUUUUGUGACGGUACCUGGAGAAGAAGCACCGGCUAACUACGUG